UACGUAGGGGGCAAGCGUUGUCCGGAAUCAUUGGGCGUAAAGAGCGCGUAGGCGGUCCGGUAAGUCCGCUCUGAAAGUCCGGGGCUCAACCCCGGGAGGCGGGCGGAUACUGUCGGGCUAGAGUCCGGAAGAGGCGAGUGGAAUUCCUGGUGUAGCGGUGAAAUGCGUAGAUAUCAGGAGGAACACCGGUGGUGUAGACGGCUUUCUGGACCGACACUGACGCUGAGACACGAAAGCGUGGGUAGCAAACAGG
rnacentral:rRNA from 1 species